rnacentral:rRNA from 1 species
UUAAAUUGAAGAGUUUGAUCAUGGCUCAGAUUGAACGCUGGCGGCAGGCCUAACACAUGCAAGUCGAACGGUAACAGGAAGCAGCUUGCUGCUUCGCUGACGAGUGGCGGACGGGUGAGUAAUGUCUGGGAAACUGCCUGAUGGAGGGGGAUAACUACUGGAAACGGUAGCUAAUACCGCAUAACGUCGCAAGACCAAAGAGGGGGACCUUCGGGCCUCUUGCCAUCGGAUGUGCCCAGAUGGGAUUAGCUUGUUGGUGGGGUAACGGCUCACCAAGGCGACGAUCCCUAGCUGGUCUGAGAGGAUGACCAGCCACACUGGAACUGAGACACGGUCCAGACUCCUACGGGAGGCAGCAGUGGGGAAUAUUGCACAAUGGGCGCAAGCCUGAUGCAGCCAUGCCGCGUGUAUGAAGAAGGCCUUCGGGUUGUAAAGUACUUUCAGCGGGGAGGAAGGGAGUAAAGUUAAUACCUUUGCUCAUUGACGUUACCCGCAGAAGAAGCACCGGCUAACUCCGUGCCAGCAGCCGCGGUAAUACGGAGGGUGCAAGCGUUAAUCGGAAUUACUGGGCGUAAAGCGCACGCAGGCGGUUUGUUAAGUCAGAUGUGAAAUCCCCGGGCUCAACCUGGGAACUGCAUCUGAUACUGGCAAGCUUGAGUCUCGUAGAGGGGGGUAGAAUUCCAGGUGUAGCGGUGAAAUGCGUAGAGAUCUGGAGGAAUACCGGUGGCGAAGGCGGCCCCCUGGACGAAGACUGACGCUCAGGUGC